rnacentral:rRNA from 1 species
CAGCGCCACGAGUGGCAACCGCGAUUAUUGGGCCUAAAGCAUCCGUAGCCGGCGCUGUAAGUUUUCGGUUAAAUCUGUACGCUCAACGUACAGGCUGCCGGGAAUACUGCAGCGCUAGGGAGUGGGAGAGGUAGACGGUACUCGGUAGGAAGGGGUAAAAUCCUUUGAUCUAUUGAUGACCACCUGUGGCGAAGGCGGUCUACCAGAACACGUCCGACGGUGAGGGAUGAAAGCUGGGGGAGCAAACCGGAUUAGAGACCCGAGUAGUCC